CGAACGCUGGCGGCGUGCUUAACACAUGCAAGCCGAACGGAAAGGCCCUGCUUUUGUGGGGUGCUCGAGUGGCGAACGGGUGAGUAACACGUGAGUAACCUGCCCUUGACUUUGGGAUAACUUCAGGAAACGGGGGCUAAUACCGGAUAGGAGCUCCUGCUGCAUGGUGGGGGAUGGAAAGGUUCGGCGGUUGGGGAUGGACUCGCGGCUUAUCAGCUUGUUGGUGGGGUAGUGGCUUACCAAGGCUUUGACGGGUAGCCGGCCUGAGAGGGUGACCGGCCUCAUUGGGACUGAGCUACGGCCCAGCCUCCUACGGGAGGCAGCAGUGGGGAAUAUUGCACAAUGGGCGGAACCCUGAUGCAGCAACGCCGCGUGCGGGGUGACGGCCUUCGGGUUGUAAACCGCUUUCGCCUGUGACGAAGCCUGAGUGACGGUAAUGGGUAAAGAAUCACCGGCUAACUACGUG
rnacentral:rRNA from 1 species